CAAGAUGUCUGCCUCCUCAAGAGUUCACGUAGCUGAACACUCCCUGAAAUAUCCACCACCAGUGUCCACAUCCCCAGGGAGAGCCACAGCCACACCUCACCUCCCCAGGAGACCCUUCAAGACCAGCAGAAAGCAACAGACUUCACAUAUACAAAAUAACCUAUUAGAAGAUACAAGGGAAGAGAAGAUAAAACCCCAUUCACAAUAGCAAAGGGGGUUAAAAAGUAAGAUAAAAAAAAAAAAACCUAGGCAUUAACCUCCCAAGAAAUGUGCAUAACCUGUAUGAGGGAACCUAUAAAAUAAUCCUGAAAACACAAAAUUUGUUUGAACCAAUAGAAAGACAUGUUCUUAGGAAAACUCAGCAUCAUAAGGACAUUUAUUGUGAUCCCAAUAAAGAUUCAGUUAAGUUUUAUUU